UACGUAGGGUCCGAGCGUUGUCCGGAAUUACUGGGCGUAAAGAGCUCGUAGGUGGUUUGUCGCGUUGUUCGUGAAAACUCACAGCUCAACUGUGGGCGUGCGGGCGAUACGGGCAGACUUGAGUACUGCAGGGGAGACUGGAAUUCCUGGUGUAGCGGUGGAAUGCGCAGAUAUCAGGAGGAACACCGGUGGCGAAGGCGGGUCUCUGGGCAGUAACUGACGCUGGAGGAGCGAAAGCCGUGGGGAGCAAACGGG
rnacentral:rRNA from 1 species